rnacentral:rRNA from 1 species
UACGUAGGGUGCGAGCGUUGUCCGGAAUUACUGGGCGUAAAGAGCUCGUAGGUGGUUUGUCGCGUUGUCCGUGAAAACUCACAGCUCAACUGUGGGCGUGCGGGCGAUACGGGCAGACUGGAGUACUGCAGGGGAGACUGGAAUUCCUGGUGUAGCGGUGGAAUGCGCAGAUAUCAGGAGGAACACCAGUGGCGAAGGCGACUACCUGGCCUGUUCUUGACGCUGAGGCGCGAAAGCUAGGGGAGCAAACGGG